rnacentral:rRNA from 1 species
GAACGCAUCCUUCGGGAUGAGUGGCGCACGGGUGAGUAACACGUGGGAACGUACCUCGAAGUACGGGAUAACUAUUGGAAACGAUAGCUAAUACCGUAUACGCCCCAAGGGGGAAAGAUUUAUCGCUUCGAGAUCGGCCCGCGUCCGAUUAGCUAGUUGGUGAGGUAACGGCUCACCAAGGCGACGAUCGGUAGCUGGUCUGAGAGGAUGAUCAGCCACACUGGGACUGAGACACGGCCCAG